CUACCAUGCAGUCGACGCUGAAGCUCCAGCUUGCUGGGGUGGAUGAGUGGCGAACGGGUGAGUAACACGUGAGUAACCUUCCCUUGACUCUGGGAUAAGCCCGGGAAACUGGGUCUAAUACCGGAUAUGACCUCUUAUCGCAUGGUGGGGGGUGGAAAGAUUUAUCGGUCUUGGAUGGACUCGCGGCCUAUCAGCUUGUUGGUGAGGUAGUGGCUCACCAAGGCGACGACGGGUAGCCGGCCUGAGAGGGUGACCGGCCACACUGGGACUGAGACACGGCCCAGACUCCUACGGGAGGCAGCAGUGGGGAAUAUUGCACAAUGGGCGCAAGCCUGAUGCAGCGACGCCGCGUGAGGGAUGACGGCCUUCGGGUUGUAAACCUCUUUCAGUAGGGAAGAAGCCUUUGGGUGACGGUACCUGCAGAAGAAGCGCCGGCUAACUACGUGCCAGCAGCCGCGGUAAUACGUAGGGCGCGAGCGUUAUCCGGAAUUAUUGGGCGUAAAGAGCUCGUAGGCGGUUUGUCGCGUCUGCCGUGAAAGUCCGGGGCUUAACCCCGGAUCUGCGGUGGGUACGGGCAGACUAGAGUGCAGUAGGGGAGACCGGAAUUCCUGGUGUAGCGGUGAAAUGCGCAGAUAUCAGGAGGAACACCGAUGGCGAAGGCAGGUCUCUGGGCUGUUACUGACGCUGAGGAGCGAAAGCAUGGGGAGCGAACAGGAUUAGAUACCCUGGUAGUCCAUGCCGUAAACGUUGGGCACUAGGUGUGGGGGACAUUCCACGU
rnacentral:rRNA from 1 species